AUGGAUAGCACCGCAAAUUCUUCUACAAAUCCUGGUAGCCAUUCAGUCCAACGCGGUCGUGGGCGCCCCCGUCAUCAGUCACAACCAGUUGUCAUACCUGAAAUAAACCAAUCUGCUUCUUCCGAUAACCACCACCGACGUACACAACUUAGAAAUAGAGCAAAAACAUCUACAGAUGAACGUUCAGUACGCCGACGAUUAACCGGAGAGUCCUCUACGUCAGCUUCCCAAACACCAAAUUUGGCAUUAAUCCAUAAUCGAACUAUCUUUCAACCCUUAAACCUUGGGGGGGGGCACCAUUCAUGCAAACAUUGUGGUUCUUUGUUUUGGUAUGAAGAGCGUAUCCGCAGAGAGAGAUAUACUUUUGAUCCAACAUAUAAUUUUUGUUGUAAAGGAGGGAAAAUCUUGCUGAAACCAUAUGAUCCUCCUCCUUAGCCUCUAUUGGAUUUAUUAACCUCACAGAACACUGCAACUUCGAACCACUUUUUUGAUCAUAUCUGGCAGUAUAAUACCAUGUUUUCGAUGACUUCAAUGGGUGCUAAAGUUAUUGAAUCCAUAAAUGAUGGCCGAGCACCCUAUGUUUUCAAGAUUAGUGGUCAAGUCUGCCAUCGUAUCGGUUCUCUAAUGCGACCUGAGAAUCAUCGACCAAAAUAUGCACAAUUGUACAUCUAUGAUACAGAGCAUGAGGUUAGAAACCGCAUAAAUAUUACUGCAUCUUCUCGCCCUUCAUCAUCUCGGUCUUCGUCUGCCCGCCCUUCUUUCAAUGCUAAUCAAGAUAUUGUCCAGUCCCUUAUAUCGAUGCUUAACACCCAUAAUCCCAUAGUGAAACUAUUUAGAACAGCACGGGAAAGAUUGACUGCAGAUGCUCCUGAUCAGUUCUUUAUUAGAUUAUAUGGCAAACCUGACGCACAUGGAGACAUCUAUAGUGCUCCGGUCGCAUCUGAGGUUGUAGGGUUGGUUGUUGGUGAUAUUGGGUCAACUGAUGUUGGGCGGGACAUUAUAAUAGAUAACCGUUCAUCAGGAUUACAACAAAUCAAUGAAAAACAUUGCAAGUUUAUGGCUAUGCAGUAUCUUCUAUUAUUUCCAUAUGGAGAGGAUGGUUACCAUGAUGACAUGUACCGCACCUCGCCAUAAAGUCAAGCUAUAAGCCGUUAGAAAGUAACUAUGCUAGAGUACUAUGCAUAUAGACUACAUGAUAGACCAGGUGAUUUCAACACGCCAUUGAGAGGUAAAAGAUUGACACAUGCUUAUGAAGUGGAUGGUUAUUGUUGUGUUGAAGAAUUUCGUAUUGCAUUCUAUCACAAGCCCGGAUUUCAGAAAAAAUAUAGAUCAUCACCAUAUAAUGGCUUGGCCAAUUCUGUCUAA
rnacentral:rRNA from 1 species